UACGUAGGGGGCAAGCGUUGUCCGGAUUUAUUGGGCGUAAAGAGCGUGUAGGCGGCUUUGCAAGUCCGUUGUGAAAACUCGAGGCUCAACCUCGAGACGCCGGUGGAAACUGCAAAGCUAGAGUCCGGAAGAGGAGAAUGGAAUUCCUGGUGUAGCGGUGAAAUGCGCAGAUAUCAGGAAGAACACCCGUGGCGAAGGCGGCUCUCUGGUACGUGACUGACGCUGAGACGCGAAAGCGUGGGGAGCAAACAGG
rnacentral:rRNA from 1 species